CACAAUGACUCUCGGCAACGGAUAUCUCGGCUCUUGCAUCGAUGAAGAACGUAGCGAAAUGCGAUACUUGGUGUGAAUUGCAGAAUCCCGUGAACCAUCGAGUCUUUGAACGCAAGUUGCGCCCGAAGCCAUUAGGCUGAGGGCACGCCUGCCUGGGUGUCACA
rnacentral:rRNA from 4 species